rnacentral:rRNA from 1 species
AGAUUGAACGCUGGCGGCAUGCUUUACACAUGCAAGUCGAACGGUAACAGGCCGCAAGGUGCUGACGAGUGGCGAACGGGUGAGUAAUGCAUCGGAACGUGCCCAGUCGUGGGGGGAUAACGCAGCGAAAGCUGUGCUAAUACCGCAUACGAUCUAUGGAUGAAAGCGGGGGACCGAAAGGCCUCGCGCGAUUGGAGCGGCCGAUGUCAGAUUAGCUAGUUGGUGGGGUAAAGGCCCACCAAGGCGACGAUCUGUAGCUGGUCUGAGAGGACGACCAGCCACACUGGAACUGAGACACGGUCCAGACUCCUACGGGAGGCAGCAGUGGGGAAUUUUGGACAAUGGGCGCAAGCCUGAUCCAGCAAUGCCGCGUGCAGGAAGAAGGCCUUCGGUUGUAACUGCUUUGUACGGAACGAAACGGUCUAGGUUAAUACCGUCGGACUAAGUAGACGGUACCGUAAGAAUAAGCACCGGCUAACUACGUGCCAGCAGCCGUA